UUUCUAAUCAUAGGAUUAUUGCUAUGCAUAAGGGUUAUUCUGUUAUGCAUACACUUUUUAAACUUAAUAUUACUAUGUAAAUAUGUAUCAUGUUGUUGCAUCUAGCCUAACUUUAUUUUAAAUAUUAUAUAAUACAAAUCAUAUAAACAAUUUUUAUCCCCAACUUUUAAUAAGUGAUACUCUCUGCCUUAGGGGACUGGAUAUGGAUAGGGGCCUUUUUUUUUUUAAUGUAGUAUUGGUUUUCUGUAGUGAUAGUGUUUUUAAAUGACUAAUUAUUUCUUACUGUUAUAAUAAGAAAAAAAAACAAAGAUAUAAACCACAUACACUCCAUUAAAAAUCACUUCAACCUGAAAUUUUAGGAGGCCAUUUAGCAUCACCUCCUAAUUGCACCCUCCCUUAGUCCUAACACUGACCUACCUGAGAAAUUCAAUACCCCUUUGGUAUUCCAGACAUUUCUCUUUCUGAGAGAAGUAGUGCAACCAAUUUCUUUUAACCUCUCAAAAUCCCAACUUUUUUUGUAAUUGUUGAAGCUCAGGUAUUCUUCCCCACUCCACUCCCCUCCCUAUUAAUAUCAGCUUCUUUUCAUUCCCCUCUCUUUGUUUUUGGCCUUACUAAUUCUGACAUGACUUUUUUUUUCUCAUACUCAACUGAAUAGAAGAGACAGAUUUGGCUUUGGUUCCAGAAUGAUGUUUCACAGAAAGUCAACUCUUGUUUCACAUACUUGAUAAACAUCUCACUAACUAAUUUCUUGCUGUUUCUAAGCCAUUAACAUUUUGGUUAGCAAGUCCAGAGCCCUUCAGACCCGUUUGCCUCCUACACAAGAAGUAAGCUAGUGAAACCCAAGGAGUACAGCCUGGCCCUCUUACAGCUUCUCUGUAAUGGUUUUUGUCACCUGGGCCAAGCUGCCGCCACCAUGACUGUGCACAUGGGGUGCUGCCUCAGGGCAAGUGGAAGAAUGCAAAUAUCUGUGGCCCUCACACUGCAAUUUAAGAAGAGCUGUUAGCUUAUACUCUUCCCAUUUAUUUCUCUUCCUAACCACCGAGUCUGAGGAUAAGGUACUAUUUUUACUUAUUUCCAGUGGAAAGAACAUGAAACCUUAGGGUGAUAGUGGCAUAUUGCUGAAUUAUGUGUUUUAGUCUGACUAGAAUAAAUUAGACUUUUGGUGGAGAGAGGGAAGAAAGGAGAGCAAGGAAUCCAAAGAAAAUCAGGUGAAAAAGCUAGAUUUUCCUAGCUCCUGGGUUCUAGGUAUGUAGGAAAAAAUAGCCACAAUUAAUAAUAUAGUAAUCACACGGAAGGAAGUAUAGUCAUUGAUAAGGUAUUUCUUCCCAGACAUUCAAAAUCUGGGUACUCGGAUUUUAAUUACAUUUCUCUCUAUUGAGUUAAAAUAUGCUGUCUGCAAUUAGAAUGUAAGUACAAGAUUUAAAAGAAGAAGAACACGUUUAAAAGGCUUUUAAAAAGCAAUCAAGGCUUCUUGGACAGAGAUCCUUUCAUUCAAGGAUGCUAUGUAGCAUCGCGGAAAUGAAUCCUCGACUUGGGCCCUCUACUUUCUUAGAAACAGAAACGUGCUUAAACUGUUAGGGUGAAUGAGUUGGGCAAAGUACACUCUGCAUUUUGCUUUAAAUUUUAACUAGACACAAACCAAACAAAACCUUUCACUUUGAACUUGGCUUUGAACUGAGCCUGUCCAUCUUCCAUCCUCUGCCGGAGUCAACUUCAGGCGAAUCAUUAUAGUUUCCUUGGACUCUAAUUGUCUCUCUCCUAGCAAGUCCCAUUGGUUCUACUUUCAAACGACAUCCAGAACUUGGGCACUUCCCUCCGUCCUCAUUGCCACCAUGCCAGCACAAGCCACUGCCAUCUCUUGUCUAGGCCAUUACAACAGCUUCCUAACUCCUUCCUCUCCUUCUGUUUAUAAAGCCUGUACAACCCACCUCUGCACACAGCAGACAUAUGGUUUAAUUGUCUUCGGAAGGAAUAUGACUCUGCGGCAUAACACACGUGCGAAAAGAGACGGCUCAGCACAUGGCAUUGAACCUGAAUACAACAAAGCAGACCUCACGAUACCACUUCUGAAUGCCCGCUGCCCAGCAGGACAGACGGCACCUUUGCUGAAUAAAAUCUGGGUAAUGAGAAACUUCGAUGUGGACACAGAGCUCCGGAAAGGGCAGAACUCCAAGGCCCUGAAUGGUGGCACUACUGUCCCCCAAUAGCUUUGCUAUUAGAUGCUAUUUGUCUUGCCCCUUGUUCCCGUGUUAAGUAAGAACCCAUUGCUCCCCAGAAGUAAAAGCAAUGCAAUCAUCGUUUGUUUGUUUAUUUAUUCCCUGUGCCAAGACCCAGGGUGAUGAGGCUGGAUUGCACACGGGGCGUGGGCCUCAGUAACUGGGAAGUCUCACCCUGCCCGGCCUGUCAGGCCCGUAUGUUUGGGCAAGUCGCAUAGUCCCGGGGACUCUGUCUCCUCACACAGUGGUAAUGACCGGCUUUAUGGGGUGGCUGCCGGGCUUAAUUAAGGAUUGAGAAGGAGGCAGAGAAUAUAAAGUGCUUCAUGCACGCAAAGGAUUUUCUCCCCAUAUUUAUUUUUGGACUCAGUCACCCAU